AUUGAACGCUAGCGGGAUGCUUUACACAUGCAAGUCGAACGGCAGCGCGGACUUCGGUCUGGCGGCGAGUGGCGAACGGGUGAGUAAUGUAUCGGAACGUGCCCAGUAGCGGGGGAUAACUACGCGAAAGCGUAGCUAAUACCGCAUACGCCCUACGGGGGAAAGCAGGGGAUCGUAAGACCUUGCACUAUUGGAGCGGCCGAUAUCGGAUUAGCUAGUUGGUGAGGUAACGGCUCACCAAGGCGACGAUCCGUAGCUGGUUUGAGAGGACGACCAGCCACACUGGGACUGAGACACGGCCCAGACUCCUACGGGAGGCAGCAGUGGGGAAUUUUGGACAAUGGGGGCAAGCCUGAUCCAGCCAUCCCGCGUGUGCGAUGAAGGCCUUCGGGUUGUAAAGCACUUUUGGCAGGAAAGAAACGUAGCGGGCUAAUACCCCGUGGAACUGACGGUACCUGCAGAAUAAGCACCGGCUAACUACGUG
rnacentral:rRNA from 1 species